ensembl:lncRNA
UUCCUGAUUGAGACAAUAGACAAAUGUUUCAAAUGGCUAAUGUUUUACCUGCUGUUUAUCUGCGCUGAGUCAGUGAGGACAGUUUGCAUGCGGGUGAGGUGUACGUGGUUGAUACGUGGUCGAAGGGUUGACAUUUAGAGAGGUUGGUGCUGUGGUUUCAAAGCGACGCGUAGCAGUUAGAGUAAGGAGGAGGUGUGUGUGAGGAACAGGGGAGGAGGAGGAGGGAACACACACAGAAAGAAAGAGACAGAAAGAGAGAAAGAAAGACGAUAACAAGCGUGUCCUGGCAUGGGUUUUUCCCCCCAGGGUCGUCUGUGCUUUUACACUCAUCUUGGUAGUUUCACCCCCACCCACAAAUGACAAGAACAGCGGCAUUCAUUAUCGUUUUAAUAUAUCGUCAUCGUUUUAAUACGUCAACAGGCAGCAUUCAUUAUCGUUUUAAUAUAUCGUCAUCGUUUUAAUACGUCAACAGUCAGCAUUCAUUAAGGGUCUUAAUGCGUCAACAGGCAGCAUUCAUUAUCGUUUUAAUAUAUCGUCAUCGUCUUAAUACGUCAACAGGCAGCAUUCAUUAAAGGUUUUAAUACGUCAACAGCAUUCAUUAUCGUUUUAAUAUAUCGUCAUCGUCUUAAUACGUCAACAGCAUUCAUUAAGGGUUUUAAUACAACAGCGGCAUUCAUUAUCGUUUUAAUAUAUCGUCAUCGUUUUAAUACGUCAACAGGCAGCAUUCAUUAAGGGUUUUAAUACGUCAGACAGCAUUCAUUAAGGGUUUUAAUACGUCAACAGGCAGCAUUCAUUAAGGGUUUUAAUAUGUCAACAGUCAGCAUUCAUUAAGGGUUUUAAUACGUCA